rnacentral:tRNA from 4 species
GGCCCAGUGGCGAAGGGGUAACGCGGUUGUCUGCAAAACAACUAUGCGCCGGUUCGAAUCCGACCUGGGCCUCAA